UACGUAGGAGGCGAGCGUUGUUCGGAUUCACUGGGCGUAAAGGGUGCGCAGGUGGGUUGGCAAGUUUGAUGUGAAAGCCCCGGGCUUAACCCGGGAAAGGCAUUGAAUACUGCUGAUCUGGAGGAUCGGAGGGGGGACUGGAAUUCUUGGUGUAGCAGUGAAAUGCGUAGAUAUCAGGAAGAACACCCGUGGCUAAGGCGGCUCUCUAGUACGGUACUGACGCUGAGACGCGAAAGCGUGGGGAGCGAACAGG
rnacentral:rRNA from 1 species